ACCCCUUUAAAUGGGCAAAGAGACACCUUGUUGGUGGAGUUGUUCUUAUAUCAGUCAAGGGCAGCAGAGAUUGCAGUCCUUUGUUCAUUCUAGCUUGAUGCCUGGCUUAGUGGCCAAAGCUGUCUUAUACCUAGGACUCAUAA